CUCCACUCCGAACCUGGAAAUUAAGCAGUCGCGGGCCACAUCAGUACUGGGCUGGGCGACUUCCCGGGAACGUGCGGUGCUUGCUUCUU
rnacentral:rRNA from 1 species